GCAGGAGAGAGGAAUCCUCCAGAUAGAAGAGUGAGCCUGGGUGUGGACUACAGAGUGGGAUGAACUCACUGAUUUGAUCAAUGAACCAGAGCAGAACAAUUACGAGAUAUAGUUGUGCCCCAGAAUCAGUUGGCUUCCAGGUCCUGUGGAUCCUCCCCUUAGGCUUCCUGGAUCCCAACAGGAUCACUCCAGGUCUUUUUUUCAAUCUACGGCAUGCUGAAAAUAAUGUGGACUAAUAAAGUUUGAGCUAUUAGGGAAAAUUACCCUAUUUCACGUCAACCUACUUUAGAAGGAUAUGCAGGGUUCAGGAGGAAAACCACAAUAGUGACCUGGCUGUGUUAUGAAAAGGACCCUGUAGCUCCUGGAAGCAAGAAAGGGGCUGCAGAAGAAAAACGGACAGGAAGGCAGCACCAUCCAGAGACACCUUUCUGGGACCUCAAUUAAGUGGAAUCAUUGAGGGAGGGGAAGAGUCCAGAUGCUUCAAAGGAAGGUCUCAAAUAGAUGGAGGUUUGGAAAAUUGCUUUCUGGUAGCUUCCAAGGACUGAAAGUCUGCAGGGAAAUAGAGGAGAUUGAUGUGCAUCUUCCAGGGAAAACACCACAGGAACAAGCCAACUAUUACAUGUGUUUUUGAUGCACAGAAAUCUACGAAGUACAUAACUAUACCAUCUACCAUAGAGAACAAGCUCAGCUUUAAGGAAAGUUCAGGGCAUGGUGAAUAAAAAUGCAGGGUUUUUAUGUUACUGGAAAUGGUUAAAAGAGAAAUUUUGGAAGUUGUUUACAUCACUGUC